rfam:Flavobacterium sp. LM4 Flavobacterium_sp_LM4_contig2, whole genome shotgun sequence.
UUUGCACCGGCAAGUCCUACACGACCAGCUCCUGCAGACUCCCCAGGAUGGGAACAUAGCAAGGGUACGUGGUUGAGCGGUGCGAUGUAGGUCGCUUGCCAUUUU